rnacentral:rRNA from 1 species
GACGAACGCUGGCGGCGUGCCUAACACAUGCAAGUCGAGCGGAGUCGAUCGACGGAAGCCUUCGGGCGGAAGAUGGUUGACUUAGCGGCGGAUGGGUGAGUAACGCGUGGGCAACCUGCCUCGAAGACCGGGAUAACAGCCCGAAAGGGCUGCUAAUACCGGAUGUGGUCAAGGAUCCGCAUGGAUCUUUGAUUAAAGGGGAAACCCGUUUCGAGAUGGGCCCGCGUCCUAUCAGCUAGUUGGUGAGGUAAAAGCUCACCAAGGCGACGACGGGUAGCCGGCCUGAGAGGGUGACCGGCCACACUGGAACUGAGACACGGUCCAGACUCCUACGGGGGGCAGCAGUGGGGAAUCUUCCACAAUGGGCGAAAGCCUGAUGGAGCGACGCCGCGUGAGCGAAGAAGGCCUUCGGGUUGUAAAGCUCUGUCUGGAGGGACGAAGGAAGUGACGGUACCUCCGGAGGAAGCCACGGCUAACUACGUG